ACUUUAACACUGAGGCGUGAUGACGAGGCACUACGGUGCUGAAGCAACAAAUGCCCUGCUUCCAGGAAAAGCCUCUAAGCAUCAGGUAACAUCAAAUCGUACCCCAAACCGACACAGGUGGUCAGGUAGAGAAUACCAAGGCGCUUGAGAGAACUCGGGUGAAGGAACUAGGCAAAAUGGUGCCGUAACUUCGGGAGAAGGCACGCUGACACGUAGGUGAAGUGAUUUACUCACGGAGCUGAAGUCAGUCGAAG
rnacentral:rRNA from 11 species